CCUACGGGAGGCAGCAGUAGGGAAUAUUGGUAAUGUGCGAAAGCGCGAACCAGCAACGCCGCGUGCGCGAUGAAGGCCUUCGGGUUGUAAAGCGCUUUUUAAGGGGAUGAGGAAGGACAGUACCCUUAGAAUAAGCCUCGGCUAACUACGUGCCAGCAGCCGCGGUAAAACGUAGGAGGCGAGCGUUAUCCGGAUUUACUGGGCGUAAAGCGUGUGUAGGCGGUCUGAUAAGUUGGAUGUGAAAGCUCCUGGCUUAACUGGGAGAGGUCGUUCAAAACUAUCAGACUUGAGAGUGGUAGAGGGAGGUGGAAUUCCGCGUGUAGUGGUGAAAUGCGUAGAUAUGCGGAGGAACACCAGUGGCGAAAGCGGCCUCCUGGCCCAUUUCUGACGCUCAGACACGAAAGCUAAGGCAGCAAACGGGAUUAGAGACCCCGGUAGUCUUAGCUGUAAACGAUGUGAACUUAGUGUCGGUGGGGUUAAAUCCAUCGGUACUGAAGCUAACGCGAUAAGCUCACCGCCUGGGGACUGCGGCCGCAAGGUUAAAACUCAAAGGAAUUGACGGGGCCCCGCACAAGCAGCGGAGCGUGUGGUUUAAUUCGAUGUUACACGAAGAACCUUACCAAGGCUUGACAUGCAAGUGGUAGGAAGCCGAAAGGCCUACGACCCUUCGGGGAGCUAUGAG
rnacentral:rRNA from 1 species